CUGUGAUGUCAGCUCCUGUCGCAUCCGUGAUCCAUCCAAGUCCUCUGUGCAUUUGGUGACUUCACUCACGGGCAGCACUAGAGUUUCCCUUUGUAGUUAGUAAUGAGGUCUCGGGCUGCCCCUUUGCUGCUUCUGAGAAGCGUGGCCCCAGCUGACAGACCUGCUUGAGGCCUGCUCCUCUCUGGUGGGGGAGACCUGUGUGUGUGGACCCUCUGUGAGCAGUGACUGCUGAGGAUUACUGGUUCCGUGCUGGCAAAGCCACCGGUGAGCAGUGUGGGGUGCAGGGAAGGUGGACCGGGCCCCCCAUGGGGGUCACCGGGGACGGACAGCGAGCCGGCUGUCCAUAGGUGCUCCCGGAGGCUCGUGGGCCUGUGCUGGGAGUCUGCGGGGGGCGGCCGUGAGCACCAGGAGCAACGGGCACAGCCAGUGCAGGACGGAGUCCCCACUGCUCGUCCUCAGCAGCCAGCUCUCGGCGUCCUGACGGGGGACUCGCGCUGCAUCCCGCCUCCACAUGGACUGAGCUCCCCCAGCACCAGCUGUCCCUCGGACUGGCAGCCGGCCGUCGGAUCUCCACCUUUAAGAUGGGCGAUUACCCCUCCGGGGCCACUUGAAGGAGCUGCCACAGGCCGCUGCGGGAGGGCGUGAACCCUGCAGCUCGAGCCCAGGAGGGGAGCAAGUGUGACGGGUCUUAGCUCAAGCCGCCUCCUCGUGUGGCCUCGUGUGCGUCAGCCGAUCGGCACCGUGGCUAGGAAGAUAACCCCUGGUACUGGUGGAAAACCGCCACGAUGGUUGUCAGUAGGAUGCUCUCAGUGAGGAAGGGAAGACGGGGGCUCUCACAAGAUGGGAUCUCGCUGUAACUGCAGGUCCGGUCACGGGGAGGGUGCCCAGGUGGAGCGCAUCAGGCGCCUCUGCCGCCCUCCAGGAGGUGACUCCAGGCAUCAUGUCCCCUCGUGGGCCUGUCGCGAGAGCUCAGGUCUUUCUGAGGGACAGCAAGCACGUGGCGAGGGCACCAUGCACAGGAGGACCUGGGGAUGCCUUCUCCUCCGUCUCCCCGACCGCGGAGAUGAGACACCCAGGGCUCAUUCCUCCGGAACUGUGUUCCCCGCCCAGGAGCCUGAGAACCCGCUGCUGACCUGAACCCUGCGUCUGGCCAAGGAAGGUGCUCCCAGACCUGCAGACUCGGCGCACCAGGGAAGACCAUGCCCGAAGGAGGCCUCUCCCGGUAAAAGCUUAAAGAAACACAUGCAUGAGACAGAAAAAAGCCAUGGAGGGGCUGCAGAAGAUACUGGAAGUGACAUGUCUAUCGUGGGCUGCCAGAUGCUCUGCCCCACAUGUCAGAGGUCUGGGCUCGGUUCAGGCUGAAAAGAUUUUACAGGAAAAGCAGCUGCCUUUGUCUCUGACCUCGUUAAUCAAGGCUUGAAGACGAUUUUCCUUCCUGGCGGAGGCCGGCAGCUUCCGGCUGUAAUUGCGGUGUGCCUCGUGGUGACGAGAAGCUGUGUGCGCCCAGUCACUUCACGGUGCCUUGUUCUCCGGGCGCGAGCCCCUCGAGGUCUCUGACGUCGGCCUCCGGGGAGGACUCGCUCGCUAAUCCCCUCUCCUGGGAGCACACCUUCCAGCAGAGGGAGAAGCUGAUGAGACAGGGCUGCUUCAAGAAUGCUGAAAGCCAGGCCUGGGCUUACAUCCUUCCAGCCCUGCCCCAGCUGGCCGACUCUUUGCUGAGUAACCAGCAAGCUUGCGGCCCAGCUGUCUCCCUCCCUCCCUGUCCCAGAAAGGAGUUACCGCAGCCAAUGGAAGUAGACACGUCAAAGAAAGAGCCCAGGAAAUUUGAAAGAGAGAAUCAGAGUGGGGAGGCUGGGCUGGUGCGUAGGCUGACUCUGAGCCCCGGGCCCCGGGGAAGGGCCCUCCCUGGAGGGGCUCCUGAAGCCGUGGGGGCUCAGGCUCAUUGGACUCUCCAUCGUGCCGUGAAUCAGUGUGGGGACCCUCAGUGCCAGGUCGCUCAGCUUGAGGCACCCUUGCCCCUGUGCAGUCACAGCAGCUUUCGCUUUGUCUUUCCUCUGCGCUUAGCCCUCCCCUAAUCCUCUUUAGAUUACAGGUAUCUGGAAAUAGAAAGACCAAGAAUCCCGAGUCGUUGGGGGAUGGGCAGCAUCCUUGGUGAGCAGCACCGCCCGAGGGGACAGCAGAGGGAGGCACAGGUGUCUGGCAGGUGUGUGCUGGGGUUGGGCCCAUGGGGUCUGACUCCUGGGCUCAGACCCUGGCUCCCCCUAGCCGGACCCAGGACUUUGGGGGGUUACUCAGCCUCCCUGUAUCUCCGUUUUCCAUUCUGAGAAAUGGAGAAAUCCACAGUUGCUCCAAAAGGGCCGCUUUGCAGAGCAGGAAUCACGUCAGGUGGAGACGAGGGCCUCUGGCUUCAGCCGGGCCUGGGAAAUGUGUCGGAAGCCCAGAGAGUCAGCCUCGUCAUGAUGACGUCUGAAUGAUGAAGUGGUCUUAAAGUGAUCAAUAGUGUCUGUUCCUGCUGUAUGGUCUAACCUGGCAUAAUCAUCUACAAGAUAGUCCCCGAUUCCUGAACAGCACGCACAUAAGGGCCUAGGUGGGGUGGGCACAGCAGACACCCAGGGCCCUCCCUGCAGUGGCAGGUGAAGACGACACAGAGAAUGGCGCGGCCUUGGAAUAGGAGGCAUGGUCAGCCUCACUCUUGCCCCUCUUUCUUCAGUUUCCUCAGUGGAACGUGUGGAGUCUGUGUGGUGCGUUUUGGUUGAAGGGUGUGGAGAAGUUCCGGCCUUAGGCAGAUCUGCAGUUUGAAAAGGGAGGAGGGCUUUAACAGCCUGUUCAGAUCCUUGUGGCUAUUCCUCUCUGAUACCAUGCCAACACUUGACAAGUGGUGGUUUCUUCAAGGUUACUUGCAGUGUGGAAUCUGAAAUCCUAACAAUGAACUUUUUGUCCUGUUACAUUAAAAUCAAUCAGAACGUCUUGCACGUUCAGAUUUUUUUUAUCUGUGCAUGGUUUUGUAACACUGUGCACUGGCCAUUUGGAAAACAUUAGUUCACUGAAUUAAGCAGAACUUCCAAAUGUCGACCCAGUUAUUAUACAACAUGAAACAUGUCACAUUUGUUAAUAUCACCACCAAGCUCUCAAGAGAAGUCUUUAAGUAUUGGGAAAUUUUUGAGCUCAUGGUCUGGGUAUAAGCUUUUCAAAUUUUUAUUUUAUUUUAUUUUUUUUUGGUGAGGGAGAUUGGCCCUGAGCUAACAUCCGUGCCCAUCUUCCUCUAUUUUAUACAUGGGACGCCUACCACAGCAUGGCUUGGUAAGCAGUGUGUAGGUUCGCGCCCAAGAACCAAACCUGCAAAUUCUGGGCCACCAAAGCAGAGGGUGAGAACUUAACCACUACGCCACCAGGCUGGCCCCUCAACAUUUUAGUGUUUGCUUGAAAAAUUGCAUGGCUUCACAGGCAAGAAGUAAUAUCAGUGUUUUUCUCUUGAAUUGACAGCCUUGAUUUAUUCAUUUCUGAGAAAAUGUCUGCCAGAGACCCACGUCUAAAUGUUCAUAAUUUGUCUGCCAGUUGUUCUUUCAAGAAGAAAUGAUGUUCCAUGAAAAAGUGGCUAGUUCAGCUUGCAACUCAAACAGUUGCACAAGUGCUUUUCCUCCAGAAAGCCCCCGCUUUUGGGUGCGCAGCAGAGGGCCUUAUGCAAACUUCCGUUUUGUUGCACAGAAGAUGGAGAAGCCUUGCAGCCAAGGUUUGAGAGUUAAUAAAAUUCAUCACUCUGACAGCGCUGUCACAAACAUUCCUAAAUGGAAUGGGCUUUGCUCCUGUGAAUGCACGUAAGUGGAGCACACAGCCACUGCGAAGCAUCAUCUGGUGCCCCGGCUUGAUUCAGGUCGUCCCUGUGGUUUUAGCCACAGCUGCUUUUGCACAGCAGGGAGAAUGUCCACACAGUGAAGAAGGCAAAUUCCAUCAUGGUGUUAUUAUGAAAACAUAAUACAUAAAACAUAAUAAUUUCGACCCUGCAAGCCAUCUGAAAGGAUCUUGGGUCACCCAGGGUUCUGCAGAAUACUUUGAAAACUGCUGAAACAGGGGUUUCUUUUUCUUGUAAGCUCUCUGGAGACAGGUAAUUGCUGAUUUGGGUUCUGUGGCUCAGUGAUGUGAGAGGUUGAGGCAGAGAUCUCAGAAAUUCUCUUGGCCUUUUCCUCAGUCUCAAGAUGGUUGCAGAAGCGCCAGGCGUCACACCCUCACUUAGCAUUCAAAGUCAGGAAGAGGGGCAGCACCAGGCAGGGGUUUUUCUUAUUCCUUUUGUAUCAGGGAGACAAAGAUCAUUCCAGAAAGAGUCGGAAAGGAAACGUGGAGGUGCGAGGCAGGGAGAAUGGGGUUAGCAGCACGAAGCCACAGAACCUGAACAAGGAAAGCACUUCUGG
ensembl:lncRNA